rnacentral:lncRNA from 1 species
AUAUAUAUAUAGAGAGAGAGAGAGAGAGAGAGAGAGAGAGAGAGAGAGAGAGGGUGAGGCCGGUAUGCUUCUGGAAGCAUAGAGCCCUCCGUGCUUUUAAGUCAUUUUCGAUGUUGGGACUUUUGAAUCGACAACAGUUUCGUUAGAUUUGAUCUAAAAUAUUUGAAAUAUCUAGAAAAUAAAUUUUGUAAUUUUUCGAUAUUAUUUUUCUAGUGAUUGAAGGACAUCAAAAUCAAUAAUUUUAAUAGUCAUGGUGAUCUGUUUGCAAAUUUAACGAUAUAGAAAUAUCUAAAUCAUGUAAAAUUUUGAUAGAAAAUUCUUUAUACUUAUAUAAAAUAAGAUCAAUAUUUUUGAUCUAAAAUUUUAAUGUAAUAUCAACAUAUUUUGUAAUAUUUUUAGUUUUAGCCAUUGAUUUUGAGUUCUUUUGAUCACUAGCCAAAUAAUAUCAAAAAAUUGUAUAAUUAUUUUUUAGGUACUUCAAAUACUCUAGAUUAAGUUUAAUAAAACCGAUCGUCAAUUCAAAAAUCCCAAUAUCAAAAACGACUUUAAAGUACGAAAGAUUCCCUAUUUUCAAAAGCAUACCGGCCUCUCCCCUCUCUCUCUCUCUCUCUCUCUCUCUCUCUCUCUCUCUCUCUCUAUAUAUAUAUAUAUAUAGAGUGAGGCUACUAUGCUAUCGGAAGCACGGAGCCUUCCGUGCUUUCAGCUCGUUUUCGAUGUUGCGACUUUCGAAUCGUCGAUCGGCUCCGUUAAACUUGAUUUAGAGUAUUUGGAGUACAUAGAAAAUAAAUUUUAUUAUUUUUCGAUAUCAUUUGCCUAGUGAUCGAAUGGGCUCAAAAUCAACAAAUUUCAAUGGCCGUAGUGAGCCAUUUACAAGUUUAACGGUGUAGAAAUAUCCAAAUCAUGUGAAAUUUUGAUAGAAAAUUCUUUAUACUAUAUAAAACAAGAUCAAUAUCUUUGAUUUAAAAUUUUAAUGUCAUAUUAUUAUAUUUUGUAAGAUUUUUAUUUUCAGCCGUUGAUUUUGAGCCCCUUCGUUCACUAGGCAAAUGAUAUCGUAAAUCAUAAAAUUUAUUUUCUAGGUACUUUAAAUACUCUAAAUCAAGUUUAACGGAGCCGAUCGACGAUUCGAAAGUCGCAACAUUGAAAACGAGCUGGAAGCACGGAAGGCUCCGUGCUUCCGAUAGCAUACAACCUCACUCUCUCUCUCUCUCUCUCUCUCUCUCUCUCUCUCUCUCUAUAUAUAUAUAUAUAUAUAUAUAUAUAUAUAUAUACACACUAACUAGUAUAGUAGCUGUGCAAUGCACGUCACAAAAAAUUUGUGGAUAAGAAAGUAGACACUGUUUUCUUACAAGGCAAACAGUAAUUAUUUUUUUACUACUGAUUUUUAUACUAUAAUAAUUUUUUAAAAUUAUGUUUUUUUCGUAGUUUCUUUAGUUGUUGUAAAUUAAUAUUGUUAAAUUAGAUUUUGAUUUUAAAAGAACUAAUCCCCAAUUAGUGUGUGCUGUCUUUAAAGUGUACUAGUUAAGGAACCGUGCUAUGCAACGGGCUCUUUUACUUUCUUUACAAUAAUUAAUAAGUAACAAAAUAUUUUUAUUUAUAAAGCAAAUAACAAGAUAUUUUUAUAAUAAAACAAAAUCAAUAUAUGUAAAUCCAUUUUUUAAAAAAUUUUUGGUAUUUAGCAAUCAGUCAAGACACUAUUGCUGAUAGGUUAAAACAAUAUAUUCGAGUACUAUCCAAGAUUUUUAAUUAAACCUAUGAAGAAAUGUUGUCGCAUGAAAAUAAACAGAAUGCCGAGAAAGUUUACACAUUUACUAAAUCAAAAUGAUUUAUUAAAAUAUGAAAGGAAAAAAAAUUGUAACUAAAAAAAAAAUUAGGCAGCCAAAGAGUUUAGUAAAUUAUAAGCCCAUAAACGAAACAAAAGUAAAUUGUAAGAUUGCAAAUGCAUGAGCAAAAAUAGAAGAGCUAAAAGACAGCAGAAAGCAAACAGUAAUAGUCUGAAGUAAAAAAAAAAAAACAAAAAGCAAUGCAAAUAUAUACAGGCGAUAUAUAGUGUAAAAGAUCAGAUAGAUCGAGAGCAAGAUCAUCACAGCCAAAAAAAAAAAACUAUACAAAUCUAACUAGAACAUCUGCAGACAAUUGGAGAAAAAAAAAAUUCUUUUAGGUCAGCCAUGCUCAUAUACUUGGGAAAUGGCAGCAAAGCAAGCCAUCCGAAUGCUGCUAGCCGUACGUAUAGAACUAAACAGAUUAGCCAAUUCCUUGAUUUGAGUCAACAUAAAAUGUCAGAUUGUCUAAAGAGCAAUUUAAUCACAGCCAAUAGAAGAAUAUAUACAUAGUAAUUUGCACAAAGUGCACCGCUGCAGAUCAAGAAGCAUCAAAAAACAAAACAAAUACAAUAAUAAUCUUAAUCAUCUCUAUCAGUACAGAGUAAGAAAAAAUCCACUAUGAAAACUAAGCAUUUAAUUGAAAAUAGGAGAGCAAGUGCCAUAGACUGCACACCCAUUACCGAAUGUAACUACAAAUAGAUAGUAAAAUAUUAGGCAAGAACAGUUAGAGCAGGUAAAAAACAGUAGACCAACAAUGGCAAAAAAAGUCAAAAAUCAGAGCAAAAAAAAAAUCAACUCAGUGUGGCUUCUCAAAACUACAUAAUUAUUUACCCAAUUCAAUAGAAAAAAUAUCCAAUAUUCUACAGCGUGAAAAAGAAAGCUACUAACAAUUUCCGAAGUACACAGGCUGCGAGGAUUACCAGAAAAAUGGCCAACACGCCAUGCCUUAGUAGAGCAAUUAUCGUUUUUGAAAAAUUCUAGCAAAGAGGCAAUUUAUCAGAGGGAAAGAUUAAGCAAAAAGAAAAAGGCCCAGGUAGUCAAGGUGCCUUAGACUAAUCAUCAUUUUUUAGAUAUUCCAACCUUCACUAUAAAGAAGCCCCAACAUCACAGCCUCCACAAUACCGAGAGAGUUAUUUAUAAACCAAUGAAUCUGAUGAACCGGCAAACUUUAGAACCUAUAAUAGAGCCUUUAGAACAUUUAGAACCUAUUGUCUCUUUAUCCAUUAAAUGCAAUGCUUUCGGAGUGCCACUUUGCCAAUCAAUGCGAAUCCACUCCGUUUAGGUUUCUACCAUUUCCAUUCCUGCCAGUCCCAGUUUGGGACUCCAGCAAAAAAAAGGAAAAAAAAACAAAAAAACAAAAAAACACCACAACAAUAAACAGCAAGGAAAAAACAUCAAAGCAUUAGGGGGGAAAGAAGUAAAAAAUCAGAGCAAAAAGAAAUUAAUUAUUUCCACCACCUUGCCUAUAGUCCGACUGAUGAAUCAAAAAAUUUCUACAGACAGCUAGUUGUCAGAAAGGCAAGAACCUUAGCUGCCGAGUUAGAAGUUAAUUAUUAAGAAUUAUCAUCAAGAAAAUGAUAAGACGUUACCUCAGCCAGGCAAACAGUAAUUUCUUAUCUUGUAAGCUACCGACGGUAGUCUUUUGACACCCAAUCAACUUUAGAAGUGAUGGUACCUGCAUCAAAAAGCCCAAGCAAUCAAAUCAAACAUGAACUCUGCAUUAUUAAAAAACAAAGCAUAAAUAUCAUAAAUGAUAUGAACUAUGCGUACCUUGUCACGUUAAAUUUCAAAGAACAAUCAUAUUAUGGUGUUUCUUUGCCCAAAAUUCCAUCCUCGAUUUAACUAAGAAAACUAAAUAUGUUGGCAUCCAAAAACCAGACAACUAAAAUUGUAGGAGAAAAUGAAAAUUUGUGGAAGACCUUUACCUUAAUUUGCAUAAAGCAAAUUUCUAAUGUGGUCGAAGGGCAAAGAAUUUUGACUAAAAGUAUAGACGGCAACAAAAUAAUUCUUAAAAAAGUUACAGCACAUCAAUUGCUGAUAUUAAUUGAUAAAGAUAAGGAGAUAAGAAUAAGGUGAUAAAAGGCUCAAACAGAUUUGUUAUUAAUUGAUGAAGCAAAGAGACGCAUUCCUCUUUUCUCUUCUCAUCAAAAUUAAAUUAGACUGAAGAAUCAAAGAUUGCAGUAGUUGCCAUUGAGGUAAUCCAUGCUGCUGUGCCAUUUGAAGCUCUGCAUACGGAUCUCUAAAUAGAUAAAAUAUAAUAAAAAGGCCAUAAUCAGAUAUUUCCUAGUAAGCUAAUAACCAACAUCAGUCCUCCCAAACAAUAGUCUCUUGAAUCAUCAUUGCCUAAUACAGAAGCGGAGGGAGGGAGUUUGACGCAAGAGAUUGCAAUUGCUGAUAUUCAUCUGGGAAGAAAAACAACAGCGGCAACAUGUACGGCAAGCAUUCAGACAUUUUUGCAAACAUCUUGCCUGUACUCAUUAGUGAGGCCUCAGCGUAUAAUACAAUACAAAGAGAAGAAGAAAGGCGGAAAAGUUGAAGAUGAAGAACAGUUAAAAACAAAAAACAAAAAAAAAAAGGGAACUGCAUGGAAAAUUAUAGAGCAAAUGCAAUAUUAAGACAAAAUGAACAAGCAGAUGAAGCAAAAAUUUAUAAUUACGAACACCGAACUGCAAACAACUAACAAGCUGAUGAGCAGGAACAUAAUUAGAAAGAGAUCAUUCCGUAUAUAUUUGUUCGCUUCCCAACAGUCAAGAUAAAAGGCUCUCCAUCCUUCAUAAAAUGGGAACCUGUCAUAGUAAAAGAAGUUAACGCAAAACAUAAAAUAUGAGUAGAAAAGUUACCUCACUUGUAUGAUUUAACGCCUCACUUAAUAUACAAGACAUCACAAAAUUGAAAGAGCACAAUGAGGCAUACCACAUGAUCACAUUUUCAUGCUUACAUGAAAAAAGACUUUUGUAGGAAUCCCUACUUAUGUAGUGAAGGAACGGUUGAUUGCUAUUAAAAUCGAAACGGCAAAAAAAUAGACCCAAAGAAAAAUAAUGCAGGAAACGAAAAGGAAAGAGCACACCAAGAUUACGUGGUUCGGCCACCAACUUACGUCCACGGGUGAAGACGGAGCAAAGACUUUUAUUAAUGUCAAAGGUGGAGUACAAAGAUGAUCUUUCUCUGAAAAUUACAAAGCAUCAAAUACACGCAACAUGCUAUGUGACAAGCGGCCAAAAAGAGAAGCCAAAAUAUGGGUCGCCGGAACUCCAUUGCCAGCUAUCUCUCACCGGACAAGCAACCUGGGCUUAAUUUUGUCUAUUUGUGAUUACAGCAUUGCCUUUUUUUUUCAGCACCAACCGGCUUCAUUAACUUGGUUGCAAUUUAUAAUGCAUAGCUUCAAACAUAGAGUUUGAUUAGAAUUCUAAUCUAAUUAGACUUCUAAUUAAACUCUAUUUAUAACAUAUCUAAUAUCCAUCUUAUCCUAAUUUAAUUAGGAUUUGUCUCUGAUUUAGAUAAAUUCAAAUCUAAACUGAAAUCUAACAAUUAUGAACAAUUUACGAGUCAAAAAAUAGUGUUAGAAAAAGUAAUAAAAAUAAAUCUCACUCACCUAGUGGCGAUAUAAUGGUUUCCAAAUUCACCAACUUCUUGUUCUUCACUUAAUACCAUGUAUAAAAUUAUGGGUCCAAAAUAAGUGUGUCAUUUUACAAAAGAAGUGAAAUGGUCAUUUUAUAAGGAAAAAGUAUAUAUAUAUAUAUAUAUAGAGAGAGAGAGAGAGAGAGAGAGAGAGAGAGAAGAGUCUGGCUACUGUAUUCUUAUAAACAAUCGCAUUCGUACUCAUAAGUUGUUUGCGAUGAUAAAGCUUCCGAAUCGACGAUCCAGACCGUUAAAUAUUAUCUAGAUAAUUUAAAACUUCUAGAAAUCAAAGUUUAUAAUUUUUCGAUAUCAUUUACCUUACGAUCAAUAGCUCAUAAAAUUGACAAUUUUUAACGGCCGGUAUGUGAUACUUGCUAGUUUAACGGUGUAAAAGAAUCAGAAUAGCUUGAAUUUUUGAUAGAAAAUUAUAUUCAUUACCUAGAUAAAGAUCAAUAACCCCGAUCUUAAAUUGAAUGAUCCGAUUAUCCAUUUUUAGGACGUCGUUCGAUUUUGACCGUUCAUUUUAUAUCCGCUUGAUGGACUUUAUAAUGAUUUCGAAAAAUUACGAAAUUUAUUUUCUAGAAGUUUCAAAUACUCUAGAUCAUGUUUAACGGUGUGAAUUGUCGAUUCGGAAGCCCCAACAUCGAAAACAACUUAUGAGUACGAAGGGCUCUAUACUCAUAAGAGUAUAGUAGCCCUAUUCAUAUAUAUAUAUAGAGUAGGGCUACUAUACUCUUAUGAGUAUAGAGCCCAUCGUACUCAUAAGUUGUUUCCAAUGAUCGAGCUUUCAAAUCGACGAUCCACACCGUUAAAUAUGAUCUAUAGUAUUUGGAACUUCUAAAAAAUAAAUUUCGUAAUUUUUUGAAAUCAUAAUAAAGUCCAUCAAACGGGCAUAAAAUGAACGGUCAAAAUCGAACGAUGUCCUAAAAAUGGAUGAUCGGAUCCUUCAAUUUAAGAUUGGAGUUAUUGAUCUUUAUCUAGGUAGUGAAUAGAAUUUUCUAUCAAAAAUUCAACCUAUUCCAAUUUUUUUACACCGUUAAACUAACAAAUAUCCCAUACCGGCCGUUAAAAAUUGUCGAUUUUGUGAGCUUUUGAUCAUAAAGUAAAUGAUGCCGAAAAAUUAUGAAAUUUGAUUUCUGGAAGUUUUAAAUACUCUAGAUAACGUUUAACGGUAUGGAGUCCAGCUACUAUACUCUUAUGAGUAUGAUCGCCCUUAUACUCAUAAGUCGUUUUCGAUGAAAGAGCUUCCGAAUCGACGAUCAUAUCGUUAAACAUUAUCUAGAGCAUUUAAAACUUCUAGAAAACAAAUUUCAUAAUUUUUCGACAUCAUUUACCUUACGAUCGAAAGCUCACAAAAUUGACAAUUUUUAACGGCCGGUAUGGGAUACUUGUUAGUUUAACGGUGUAAAAGAAUUGGAAUAAGUUGAAUUUUUGAUAGAAAAUUCUAUUCACUAUCUAGAUAAAGAUCAAUAACUCCGAUCUUAAAUUGAAGGAUCCGAUCAUCCAUUUUUAGGACGUCGUUCGAUUUCGACCGUUCAUUUUAUGCCCGUUUGAUAGACUUUAUUAUGAUUUCGAAAAAUUACGAAAUUUAUUUUUUAGAAGUUUCAAAUACUCUAGAUCAUAUUUAACGGAGUGGAUCGUCGAUUCGGAAGCCCCAUCAUUGAAAACAACUUAUGAGUACGAAAGGCCCAAUACUCAUAAGAGUAUAGUAGCCCUACUAUAUAUAUAUAUAUAUAUAUAUAUAUAUAUAUAUAUAUAUAUANCCUCCUUCACCAUGAUGAGUAAAGGGGCAUGGUCAGAGGCAGCUCUGACAAGGUGUUUGACUCUGACACCAGGGAAAAGAGAUAUCCAGUCAGGAUUAGCAAAAGCUCUAUCAAGUCUGACCCAAACCCGACUCCUUAUAUCUUGAUUGUUGCACCAAGUGAAAGCAGGGCCUUCAAAACCCAAGUCGAUAAUACCAGAAGUUGAAAUAAAUUCACUAAAAGCUCUAUUUUUGGGAGAAAAAGAGAAGGGUUUACCACCUAAUUUAUCAUCUGGAGAGCAUAUGGCAUUGAAGUCGCCGCAAGUGAGCCAAGGGAGGUUUAAUCCCCCUAUUUUCUCCAACUCUUUCCAUAGCUUACGUUGUUCUGAUAGCUUUACACUACUAUAAACCGAAGACAACACCCAUGUAGGGCCAUUGUCAAUGGUAAUGAUAGCAUGUAAAGCUUGUCUGCUCCUUUGAAUGCAGGUUACCAAACCCGCAUCAUCCCUCCAGGCCAUAAGUAUGCCUCCCGAACGACCCACCGCAUCAAUUGAUUGAAAGCGCCAAUUUCUACCCAUUGCACGAGCAAUCGAUUCAGAUCUAAUUCCUGAAACAUGGGUUUCAAGCAGAAUAAUCAUAGCAACAUUAUAAUUCUUGAUAAAAUUCCUGCAUCUAUUCUUGACAUCCUUCUUUAUCCCUCCAUUAUCUCUAAUCAGUAUGCAAAUAUAUUUGUAAGAUUCAAAGCAUUAGAGAUCAAUAGCAAGAAGAUCUCAAGAAAAUAGCUACAAUUAAAAUUCAAUGCUAGGCCAUAAAAUCAAAUAUUUUAAAAUUCAGAUAUUCAAUUCAAAGUGAUCUACAGUUGAGAUAAGAACUCUAUUUUUCACCUUAUAAAGAAGGUAGGCAGUGCAAUAAAAAAAAUAGCAUAGCAUAUCUAGAAUAAUAAUGCAGACUAAUAGUUCAAGUAAUCGAAUUGAAAAAUUAAUUAUGCUAGGUUAAUGCAAAAGAGGUGAGAGCUAAAUGUAAUGGAUCUCCAUGUAUAUGGCCCUCUGCUGCUGGUCAACAAAUACAAAAAACAGAUGAUACCAUAUACAAGCAUUAACACAAAAAUGCUUCUACUAAGUAAAGCGAUGAAUUCUAAAAGAAAAAAAUCGCCUUAGUAAGAAAUCCCCAACACUAUCGAGAAGGUAUUUCUGCACAAUUUCCCAGAUGCACUUUCCACUGACCUGCUUGCCCCUCCUCCAAAGCGGGUUCAACAUAACAGCUAGCCAUUCCAUAACUUAGGAUUAGUUACUAUCAAAAUUUAGAUGUUUUAAUUUCAAGCUUUUUUAGUGUUUUUCUUCCUUCCUCGAAGACCUUCAAACAUCCAAUAACUAUUCUGUUAUACAGUUUGGUAACUUACACCUUAUCCUUGUUUUCCACUAACUUGUAAAAAAUAAUAGUCCCAUAUUUGAUAGAAAAAUGAAUUCUGCCUUGUGUAUAAUGUGAGUGUUGCAUCCACAUAUUAGGUUAAGCUUUUGAGUUGGGUUCAGGCCUACAUCAUUUAGUUCUUAACUAUGAUUAACACAGUAACUUCAAUUAUUUUCCUGAAUAUCUCUAUAUCGUGAAUGUCCAACACGCUCACCUGUAACUACUAUAGUCGAUGUUUGAUCAGAUAUUAACUCUUUCACUGAAGAGUGCAGUAAUAGAUUAUACAAAUCAUCGAAGAAAUCACCCAAACUAUCAUGUAAUAUUAUGAUGUGCAAUAUUAUUAUGAGAAAUAUCCUCUUCACCUUCCUUUUUUCUUAAUAUUUACCGGUGAUGAAAGAAAUUGUCACUUUUUGGUCUAUUCAAAACCCCAAAUUCAUUUACCCACCGCUUUCUCAUAAAUGUUGUAAUUAUAUUAUGAGUAUGUUUACUAUGAGCAUGUUUAGCACCAGAUUUCAACUUAAAUUGAAUAUCGAUUGCAACUUAUAUAUCUCACAUAUCUCUACUACUGAAGCAUUAAAACCUUAAAAACUUAAAUUGUCAAACUUCUACAAGUACUAGCGGGUGAGAAGCUAUAAGGAUAUGAGUAUAAACAAAUUUACAGAAAUUCUGGUCAUUAUGAUGGUAUCGGCGUAUAUUAAUGAUGAAUAAACAUUGUCUCACCCUUCAUUUAAAACUGCUUUAAUUUCAAACUUGCAUUUUACUCUCUUGUCAAAUAGGUUCAAAAUUUUGAAAACCUAUCAAGUUCAGAUCCAAAACUUCACAAGAAUGAUUGGCACAUAAAAUGGUUUCUACAUGUGAAUAUCUAUUUAAUUUGCAAUCUAAAUUAUAGAUCUAAAAGCAAAAAAUUGAGACAUGCUUCAACCAAACUUUAACAAUGUAUAAUAAUAACAGGCAAUUGUAAAGGUAAAUUGUACCUAAGCAAGCAAGAGACAGAACAAUGAUUCUCAUAACACGAUCCAAUUGUGGGCUUUGUAAAUGAUAAUUGGAUUUGAUUCCUAUAUUCUUCUUACCAGAUGCUCAUAAGCUAAAAUGACAUUUCAUAAUUGCAGUAAUUCUCUAAUAAGGUUUGCCAUGUCCAAGUAGCAAGGAGAAGAAAGAAAAAGUAAGCAAAGUAUCGCUAUCAUUAUUGUCUUGGCCUUAUUCCAUCAAUUUGGAAUAAAUCAGCUUACAAGUAAUAAGCAUACAAGGAACUAUACAGAUAUUGCAGUACAACUCUUAAAACCUAGACAUCAUCUCUUCAUAAAUUAGCACUAGUUCCUCACUAAAGUAAAAUCAGCGAAGAGACGAAAAGGCAUGUCAACUAAAAUUGAUUGACUUGACAUGCCACACCACAUAACUUCCACAAUGACUCCCCAAUCUUUUUUUGAAGGUUCCGAUUUGCUUCUGAACCUUUCAACUAUUGAAAUUAGACACGUAACCUUUGUAUUCCGUUGCAAUAUUAUCGUUUUCCUCAGGUUCCUUGAGUAACAUGGAUCGACAUGCCUACCCUACUGUAGUAUGAGAAGACCGGAAGUUCUUUAUGUGGCAAUCAAACAAUGACUAAGUGAAUGUUUCUGUCGAAUCGGAUAAGAUUAAACAGAAGGUCAGGAACCCUACUUUUAAGUUGUAACAGUAGCCAAACUCAAACUUCGCUAAAAAUUGAGGACCUCUGCUGAAAAUAUACAACCAUACCUGCAGCAGCAAGUUAAUUAGAUCUCAAAUCUCCUCCAACAAAAUCAAAACUGAACCACCUGAAGCUCUGUUAACUCCAGAAUAUUUGAAGCCAAUUCCUCCUCUCCAACCUUCCUCAACACCUCGACAGCAUGCUCAACACAAUCAGCUUCGACGUGAAUAUUCCUCUCAACAAUUUUUCUUCCCAACAUCGUACCUUCAUUCACGUAGCCCUCUUCACACAACCUCUUCAGCAGCAUAGAAUACACAUCUGAAUCCGCCGAUCCAUUCUCCUCCACCACUUCUACCCAACUAUACCCAUCCAAUAUCCUCCCCUUCCUGCAUAGCUCUCUUACAAGCGAAUUAAAAGCCAACCCGCUCGGCUUUAUACCCUUCUCUAUCAUCUUUCUCAGAAGCCCCUCGGCCUCGUCGAGGCUGUGGAUUUUUAUCAAACAGGUCACAAGCAGGCUGUAGCAGCUGUCGCUGGAAAUGGUCCCGGCGCCAACCACAUUCUUGAUGAGGUCGUACGCGCCAUCGACGCGUCCCCCGGCGCAGAGGCCGUUGAGGAGGGUGCGGAUGAGGACUUGGUUGGGGAGGACGCCGCACUUCCCCAUUCGGUCUAACAGAGCUAGUGCUUCUUGUAAGCGGUUGUUUUCACAGAGGCAUUUGAUCAAACAGGUGUAGGUCACGACGUUCGGCGCGCACACGGAGGAGGGCAGGCCCUCGUCCUGCUGCUCCAUUUGGGCGAGGAGCUUCGCGGCCCCAUCAGGGUCGCCGGAGGCGCAGAGGCCGUCGAGCAUGGCGGUGUAGAGGACGACGGUGGGGGCGCAGCCGUGGGCGCGCAAGCGGGGGAGGAGGGCGAGGGCGGCGGGGAGGUCGCCGGCGGCGCAGAGGGCGCGGGCGGCGGCGACGAAGGAGGCGAGGUUGGGGCGGGCGCCGAGGGGGGCCAUGUCGUCGAGGAGGGCGGCGGCGGCGGGGCCGCGGCGGGCGUCGGCGAGGAGGGAGAGGACGGCGUUGAAGGCGGGGGUGUCGGGGCGGCAGGCGAAGUGGGCGGGCAUGCGGCGGAGGAGGNUUGACUUGGGCGGGGCCGCCAGGGACGACCCCAGGGUGAACAGCGGCAGCGACGAUAUCAGCGCCGCCGCCGCCGCCGCCGCUGCCUCCUUCUCCCGAUCCGAGUUCGCCGCCGCCGCCGCGGAGUCGCCGUCGUCGGAGGAGGAGGAGGAGGAGGAGGAGGAGGAGAGGCGGUGGGCGACGCGGGAGGAGUAGUAGGAUGAGGAGGGAUGGGAAUGGGAGCGGCGGGAGAGGCAGCGGAGGAGGAGGUGUAUGGAGGCGGAGGCGAGGAUGACGAAGGCGAUAAUGGCGGCGAUGAUGAAGAUGCUCGGUGACAAAUAGAGCGACGACGACGACGACGACGACGACGACGACGACGACAAGGAGCGAAGUGGUGGUGGUGGUGGUGGUGGUGGAAGUGGAGAGCAGGCGGCGGAAGGUCAUUGGAAUUCUGAGGAGGAGGUAGAGAUGGUUAGUCCGACGGAGGACGUGCCUUGCGGCCACCAAUCCGGUCCGGUUAAACCGCCGGGCGCAAAAAUGGCCGUUUUCAUGAAACAAGUAAAGGCAAUUCUACAUUUCUAUUAGUCUAGGGCUGUAAAACGGGCUGUCCGGUUUAACCGGCCCGGAACGACUCCGGUCCCGGCCUUGGCCCGGCAAGACUACUGUAGCAUCCGUGCCGGGCCAAGCCGACCCGGCUCUCUGGAUCGUGCUCAGCCGACACUCUAAGGCCCGUCGGGCUGGCCGGUCUCGAGCCUGGGCCGUGCCGAGCCAAGAGGCCGGCCCGUGGCCUAGCGCGGUACGGCAGGAAUGGGCCGUACCUGCCGGGCCAGUACGGCCCAAAUAUCAAAAUGGCGCAUAGGCCUAUAAGGCUGUAUCCUAUAAGCCUAUAAUAGUGAUUGGGCCCAACUUGAAGCAUGCCUCUCUCUCUCCCCUAAAUCCCAACGCCCAAGGGUCAUGGCAGUCCCUUGGGGCGUGGGCCAAUGGCCUUUGAGUCGUUGGAUUUUUUUAAAAAAAUUAUUUUUUUGAAAAAAAAUAUUUAAAUAUAAUUUUAAUUUUUUAAAUAUUUUUCAUGUAAUUAUAUAAUACAAUUAAUACAAAAUUUAUAUUUUUUUGUAAUUAUUUUUUAAAAAAAUAUCAAUUUCUCUUCGAAUAAUAAAAAAUUAUUAAAAAAUUUAAUAAAAGAGUUUUCAAAAAGUUGGGCAUAAUUGUAUAAAGUAAAAUUUAUAAUCAAAUUUCUAUUUUAAAAAAAUUAUCUCUUUUUCUUUAAAAAGAAUUAUAAAUUUUUAAUUUUAAAAUUUUAAUAAUUAUAUAUGUUUAUUGAUUAGAAUACUAUCGAUCCGCCACGAAGCGCGGGACCUCCACUAGUACACCCUAAAAUAGAGUAGAUUGUAUAUUUUACGUCCACUCUAUUUUAAAAUUAUUAAUUAAUUAAAAAUCUACUCUAUUUUAAGUUCAUUAAUUAACCAAAAAAUAUAUAAAAGGAGACUUCCUAAAAAAAUUUAGGGUAAACUUCAAAUACCACUCUAUGGUUUUGCACUUUUUCACUUACUAUUGUUGACUAUUAUAUUUCCGCCCUUACUUGUUUAUCUUACUUCUUUGUUUGCCAGUGCGUGCGGCUUUCCCUCGUCGGCUGGUUGCCCUCACUGAAAAAUAUAUUUAUACGUUUCUCACCCCACUAUUUUUACAGGUGUUGCUCACAGUGCGGUCGAGGCGCGGUGGAAGGACGCGGUUAGUUAGCACCUAGAUAGCUCAUGCCAUGGAUCUUAAUUUAUAGUUUUAGAUUUUUCUUAUCGCAGUACCUUAUGAUCUGGUUAUAGUUAUGUAAUAUAAUUUGUAUUUGGAGUUUAGUUACUUUUGGGUUUUCCACCUGUAGUGGACUAUUUGAUUCUGAAUUUUGGUAUUUGAUUGAUUAGUAGUUGUAUAAUUGAACUAUCUUGUUCUAAUUGAUUAUGGUUCUGUAUUUGUGCUUUUACGCUGUACAUGUACAAGGAAAACUCUGUCCGCAUGAACAGAGAAUGCCUUGCGCGUGUGGCGGGUCUGUGCACGUCUCAGGCAAGGUUUAUAAAAUAAAAAUAAAAAAAAAAUCUAUACGUUUUUUCGCAACUCUGUUUUCAAAUUGAAUGGAUUUUUCAAAAAUUAGCUUUCCAAAAGGGCCCGAGACGUGACAAUUAUGAUCUAGAACUGGAGCAAUAGAUUUUCUAUACUUAUGCAUGAUCGUAUAUCGAUUAUUGAUCUGAGUGGUCGGUCCUUGUGAGAUCCAUGUUGUUAAUAAUAUGAUUGGUCGAUAUACCCUAGAGGGGUUUGAUUGUCCGUUAUUCGCCAACCGAUGACUAUUGAUCAUACUGCAUUGGUCACCACAGUUCGUGAGCAUUUUAUGUACACCAGUGGUUUGGCAUCGCAAUGGUGUUCUUUCUCUGAAAAAUGGUCAGACUUCCGACCCGUGACCCCAGCGGCCUACUACUAGGGUCAUAUACUAGGUGGAGCAAGUAUGGCACUUGCUCCUUGGACCGAUACAACGGUUUGGAUUGGACAUUUUUGGACUGUUCGUCUAGUUGAUGUAUUACAUUUACAAUAGCGGUAGUUGCAUGUGUAUUCUAUUUACUUUCAGUUUACAUUGCUAAUGUAGAUCCUUCUAUAGUAUAUUUUUUGUUAACAAUGGGUACUCUUGUCCUCAUCGGCUUACUGUAUCCACUAGGAUACUCUUUAUUGGUUUCUCACCCAUUCUUCUUUUCAGGUGAUCUGGGUGGUGGGAGUCGGGACGGUACGUAAGGCACAGUAGCUAGCGAGCGAUAGAACUCCCGACGUAGUGGCAUUAUUUGGUUCGAGACCCUACCCCUGUCCUUCAGUUAAUAAUUAGAAUUAUUGUGGUUCAAUUUGGCUUGGACUUUUGUUAUGAAUUUGAUUUGGAAUUUUAAAUAAUGCUGCUUUGGAAACAUUGUGAAUUUAUGGAAAAUAAUUUUCUACUUCUUGUGGUAGCUUACUUUCAAAAGAUAAAUAAUUUUCAUGUAGGAAACAAUUUUCAAAAAGAUUUUUUCGGCUUUUGUGAAUCUAGUGUUUCAAAACAAAUUUUUCGAGUGGGAAACGAUUUCAAAUAAUAGAUGGAUGAGCAUUUCUCUGUGAUAAGGACGGUUAACUGUAUGCUGUGGAAAAUGUAUGUGUUUGAUUGAUCUAUGUAUCUUGUGAAUUGUUAUAUACUAGUUAAGGACUCGCGCUUCGCGGCAAUUCGCAAUAAAUAAAAAAUAUAAAAAGUAAAAAAAUACUAUUUGUAUAAAUAUUUCUAAUAUUAAAGAUUAGGUCAAGUCUGAGAACAUAACAAAAUAGAUAUCCAUUCAUUAAUUACAAAAAUUCAAAAAGAUGCAUAAGUAAUAAGCAGAAUAAUUUUAUUAUAUUGUCAGGGUUCGCUCUUGCUAUUGCCUUGGCAAUCAUCUUCUGCAAACCUAUGAAGUUAACAUAGUAAAAAACCUAAAUCAGUUUAAUUGGUUAAUAAUUAUAAAGAACUUAUUAAAUUGAUGCAGUUGUAGUGGAAUUACCUAAGACACUUUCUGCUUGGUUGAUCCACAUUAGAAGUGAAUUUUGAUUUUUCUUCAAGGAACCUGGUAAAUUUUCUUUCAUCCUGUUAACCCAAAAUAAAUUCUUCUACAUGCGAAAUAAUGAUAAGGAAAGAGGAAAACAAUACCUCGAGUUGCUUAUAGCGCAGAAACCAACCAAUUACAGUAGGUGCGGCAAGAAGUCAAAGAAAAAUAUUGCAUCAAGUUUCUUAUAACGUAAAAAUCAACUAAGGAAAAUUUUCACUUAUAUGUAUAUGGAAAAUCUAUAAUUCCACCUAUGAGUCUUUUCCCCUGCGAACAAAAAACCACCCUUAUUUUCUCGCAAUUUUCUGCAUUUUCUAGGAGUAGUCUACUUGUAAUUUUACUGCCUUUUUUCUAGGAGUAAUUCUCUAAAGUAGAACCCUGGAGUCUGUCUGCCCCACGAGCAUCACUCCGUUGUAAACUACAUAUCCAUCCUUGUACUUUCCAUCAGUCAAUCAAUAGAAAGUCUUUUCGGCUCUUCAAGCUGACCAAGUCUCGUGUUGCUUUAGCCAUUCGGUUCUUCUCCCGGUUUAGUUUCUGGUAUGUUCUGUACAUUCGGCUUAUUUCAGCCGAACCAAACAGAUAGUAGUGGUUUUCGAACCCGGCUGGCUCGAUCCCUCGUCAGCCGAAUCGCUUGAUCUGUUGAAGGGCGCAAACUUCGAGGGUCACUAUCCACAGCCGUUCCUCACCCCGAUGCACUUCCCAAGGAGGAUCUUUGACCGGGUCAAGGGUCGGAAAAUUCGGCUACCAAUAAUUUUUGGCACACCCGGUGGGACGCAUUUUAAGGUAAAUUUAUAUUUUAUAUAAAUUAUGGCUGAUGAUAACGCGAUGAAUCUACGUAAUAGGGCCGUUCCUAGAAAUUCUGGGAGCGAACAGCCCAGUAAUUCGGAGAAUGCCGCAGAGCACCAAGCAAUCUUACCUACCGAGGGUGAGACCAGUGGUCAACCUGACAAACAGGAGCCUAGUUUGGCUCAGGCGCUUGGACAAAUGACUCGGGUCCUGCAAGUUUUGGACCAAAAUAGCCAUGCUAGUACUGCACGGAUAGACGCAGUGUUGGCCGCAAUCACAGCCUCUAAUGAGAAUAUUGCUCGAAUAGGGCAAUUAUUAACUCGUAAUGAGCAACCGAUAGCAGGCUUACAGGCGCUUGCGAUGGCAACGGUGUUACAAAACCCCGUAACACCGGUAAAUAGACAGCCCCAAUACCACGGGGCUCCAUAUCAGGCAUAAUAUAGACCGGCUGUUAUUAAUGCCAGUCAACAGCUAGAGAUAGUCUGGGGGCUACCACCACCUCCACCAGUAGCAGCAUACCAACCCCAAAAUGUAGGGGCUAGGGGGCAGGCUCCGAUUGCACAAGGAGUUAACCCCGUGGUACAAAACCUUGUUCUACCACAGGGACCGAAUCCAGCACAAGCACAAGUCCCUUUGCUGGGGAUUAAUAAUGAGAUAUAUGCACAAAUUGAAGAAGCUACCCGAAAUACAUUCGGAGUAGGAGCAAGGCCGGCAAUGCGGCUUGUAAUUAGAUCACCCUACUCUGCAAAUAUAGACGCAGAACAUCCAUAUCCGGCAAAUUGAAAGAUGCUGAAAUUUUAUAAGUUUUCUCGAGAUGAGACCGAGAACACGGUCGAACAUGUUGCAUAGUUCACGGCACAAUGCCGAGAAGCCGCAGCAGACCCAUUUUUGAAGUUAAGAUUAUUCAAUACAUCAUUAACAAAGACGGCUUUCACUUGGUACACAAGUUUGCCGGCUAAUUCUGUCCGAGAUUAAGACGAAUUAGAAGGUAAAUUUCAUGAACAAUUCUAUAGAACUGAGCCGGAAUUAUUGGUUGCCGAUUUAGCCCAGUUCAAACAGAGAACAGGCGAAUCGGUUGAUGAAUAUCUGAACCGAUUCAAGACGGCUCAGACCCGUUAUUUUGUGAGAAUGCCAGAGUCGGAAUUUGCCAAAAUGGCAUUUAACGGCUGGCAUUUUAAAAUUAAAGAUCAUUUUGAAGAUAAGUUUUUUCCAAAUCUCUUCGAUUUGGGAAUUCGAGUUGCUCAAUAUGAGUAAUUUCGAAAGGGUAACAAUGAAGAUCGGCCCAGAUGGAGCCGAAAUAGAGAAUGGAACAAGGGAAAGAAGAAAAAUGUCUCUUUCCUUGAGGAGUCUUCGGUUCAUGAGGAACUGAAUUCGUCUGAAGAGAAUGAGGAUUCGGCUAAUGAAGCCGAAGUAUGUGCCUCAGAGAUGGUGAAAAACCGUCAACCAUAUAAGUGCGCUUUGUUAAAACCCGCUAAAUCACGCGAAGCAAAAGCGCAGGUUUCGGCGUAUACUUAUUCGUUUGAUGUGUCAAAAACCGAUCUUAUCUUUGAUCGGUUGUUAAAAGAUGGAAGGAUUCAACUACAAGAGGGUCAAACGAUACCUCCCGUAGAAAAAUUGAAACGUAGGAGAUAUUGCAAAUAGCACCACUCAUGGAGCCACAAAACAAAUGAAUGCACUGCCUUCAAGAGGCAAAUUCAAAAAAAAAAAAUAAACGAAGGUCAGCUCAUCUUUGCCGACCAUGAAAAUAAAAAUAUGAAAAAUUGAUAAGAACCAUUUUCCAUCACAGGUCAACGUGGUGAUUAUGAAAGGAAAAGAAAAAACGACUGCGAAAAGGCAGAUCCAAGAAGAAAUAGAAGGGGUCGGCUCAUUCUAGCCGACCAGGAAGAUGAAAACAAUAAGAUUGACAAAAGUUCGUUUCCUUUUCAGGUUAACAUGGUGAAUGUUAAAGGAAAAGAGAUUGCGGACCAGGCGACUGCAGAUAACGUGGCAAAUGCCAAAAAAAACCUUCGGCUUUGCAUAAGGUGCAAGGCCGAAAUGACAAAGAAGGAUUGGGAAGCUAUCAUCAACGCCAAGAAAAGUGGCAAUGAGUGGAAUGAGUUGAUGCGUUCCCCGAGGAAUGGGAUGACAAUCCUGAUGGUAAAGAUCAAGAAGAGGAAGGCUCAGAUGAAGCCUCCAACGGAACGGAACCGGAAGUCGAUUCGGUUCAACAUAAAAAGGAUUUGUUGAUGCAGAAAGUUCUGCAUGACUACUACCACAACCGACGAGAAAACGACAGAGCCGAUGGAGUUUUCCGGAGAAACCAUUCGGCUCGAGGCCAAGGUUCCCUGGGUAUCGGCCACACUGGCAGCAUCAAGCCAAGCCGUGACCAGAACCGGAAUUCGAGGGAAUGACCGAGAGGGACAUAAAAUUCCUUGGUCGGAGACUAGUCAAUGAGCUCGGCAUUCAGCCCUUGCCGAGACCCUGGGAAAGAAGAGAAAUACUAAAAAAUUAUUUGAGAACAGUGAAGGUACCGGCAAAUGUGCCGGUAGAUAAAUGGCAUGAAGUAGAAGUGAAACCAUCGGCCAGAUGGCAGGGGCCGAUGUUAACAAAAACACAAAAGCGUCGGCAGCAAAGGAUGCAAACCGAGGUGAGAUAACAACAUGAUGAGGCAAAAGGGAUAAGGUUGAAUGUAUGGAGACGACCUGAUGAACCCCCACACCAUUUCUGCCCGAUGCGAAAUGAUCAUGAGGUAGGCGGUUCAUCGCCUACCCCGUGGCUAAAAUCAAAGAUUGAAAGGCCAAUAUUGGCCGAACAUGAAGAAAAAAUGACAAGGAGGGAGUUAGAAGACAAAAUAGCCUUCCUUGAAACGAUCAUCAAAAGAGAAAGAUGGCCUCCUAAGGAGAGAGAGGCUCGGAUGGAAAGCAACUCUUCAGCCGAGACGGCCAAGGAGUCUGAGGAGAAAAAGCAGAGAGUCCAAGAAAAAUCGGCUGACGAGGGAUUGGCCGACGUCAACAUGGUGUAUACUUUGCCUCAAUCUUUUAGAGCAGAGCAUACAGAAUACGAGAAAUUCAUAGAAGAAGAAGAGUUUGGGCUCACUGUGGCCCAAUUACAAUUAGAAGACACUAAACCAUCGAUGCAUUGAUUUUUGAGAAACCAUCGGUUAUGCAAACGAGGUUCUUGAGGCCAUUAUUCAUUAGGGCCUUAAUCGAAGGUUGGCCGGUAGGUCGAGUCAUGGUAGAUGGCGGAGCAAUGGUCAAUGUCAUGCCCACUUCAUUCUUCAAAAAGUUGGGCAAGGAUGAAGAUGAGUUGAAGCCCACUGACACGAUCAUGACCGAGCGGUCAGCAAGCUCGAGGGGUAUUCACAACUAGGGGUGGAAACGAGCCGAGCUCGAGCGAGCUUAUGUCAGCUCAAAUUCGGCUUGAAAUUAAUUUUGAGCCUAAAUCUAGGCUCAAGCUCGGCUUGAAAUUAAUUCGAGCCGAACUCGAGCGAGCCUAAUUUCGAGUCGAGCCGAGCUCGAGCUCUAAACGAGCCGAUUGAAAUUCUCGACAUAAUAUAAUCAAUAGUUUAAUUUUUAUAGAAUAUUACCUAUAAUUUGAUACAACAUGUUCAAUAGUUCAAAAUACAAAAUAAUUGUAAGAAAUGUGAGCUAGGGUGACUGCCUGACUGGGUGAGGGUCAGAGAGAGAGAGAGAGAGGAAAAAAAAUUAGGGAUUUGGAAAUUUGAAUAUUAUCAUGUUUUAGGGUUAUGUGCAACAGUGAAAGUCUGAAAGAGAGAGUGUGUUAUGUAAAUUUAGAGUUGGGCUCAAUUGCACGGUUGUAUUUGUUGGGUUUAUUUUAUGGGCCAACAUUAAUGGCCCAAAUUAAAUUAAAGCCUAUAUAUAAUUAAAAUACAUUAUAUAUAUAUAUAUAUAUAUUUCGAGCUUUCGAGCUUUUCGAGCCUAAUUCGAACGAGCCGAGUAAUACUCAAGCUCGGCUUGAAAUGAAUUUCGAGCCUUUUAUUUUGU